ACUGCUGCUGUACAGGAAAAUUAUAAUGGCCGAAACAUCCAAUGAAGCCUGAGGUGUACUCCUGAUGAUGUGUCCCUCGGAUCACCCAUCAAGGGGGAUGCCCACCUGAAAACUUCACUGU